GACGAACGCUGGCGGCGUGCUUAACACAUGCAAGUCGAGCGGAAAGGCCCUUUCGGGGGUACUCGAGCGGCGAACGGGUGAGUAACACGUGAGUAAUCUGCCUUGUGCUCUGGGAUAGCCACCGGAAACGGUGAUUAAUACCGGAUAUGACCGUUGCACGCAUGUGUGGUGGUGGAAAGUUUUUUCGGCGCAAGAUGUGCUCGCGGCCUAUCAGCUUGUUGGUGAGGUAAUGGCUUACCAAGGCUUUGACGGGUAACCGGCCUGAGAGGGUGACCGGUCACACUGGGACUGAGACACGGCCCAGACUCCUACGGGAGGCAGCAGUGGGGAAUAUUGGACAAUGGGCGGAAGCCUGAUCCAGCAACGCCGCGUGAGGGAUGACGGCCUUCGGGUUGUAAACCUCUUUCAGUAUCGACGAAGCGACCUUUGGGGAGUGACGGUAGGUACAGAAGAAGGACCGGCCAACUACGUGCCAGCAGCCGCUGUAACAC
rnacentral:rRNA from 1 species